rnacentral:rRNA from 1 species
CCUACGGGAGGCAGCAGUGAGGAAUAUUGGACAAUGGGCGCAAGCCUGAUCCAGCCAUGCCGCGUGCAGGAUGACGGUCCUAUGGAUUGUAAACUGCUUUUGCACAGGAAGAAACAACGCUACGUGUAGCGUCUUGACGGUACUGUGAGAAUAAGGAUCGGCUAACUCCGUGCCAGCAGCCGCGGUAAUACGGAGGAUCCAAGCGUUAUCCGGAAUCAUUGGGUUUAAAGGGUCCGUAGGCGGUUUAGUAAGUCAGUGGUGAAAGCCCAUCGCUCAACGGUGGAACGGCCAUUGAUACUGCUAGACUUGAAUUAUUAGGAAGUAACUAGAAUAUGUAGUGUAGCGGUGAAAUGCUUAGAGAUUACAUGGAAUACCAAUUGCGAAGGCAGGUUACUACUAAUGGAUUGACGCUGAUGGACGAAAGCGUGGGUAGCGAACAGGAUUAGAUACCCUGGUAGUCCACGACGUAACGA